ACCGUAAACGAUGAAUGCUAAGUGUUGGAGGGUUUCCGCCCUUCAGUGCUGCAGCUAACGCAUUAAGCAUUCCGCCUGGGGAGUACGGCCGCAAGGCUGAAACUCAAAGGAAUUGACGGGGGCCCGCACAAGCGGUGGAGCAUGUGGUUUAAUUCGAAGCUACGCGAAGAACCUUACCAGGUCUUGACAUACUAUGCAAAUCUAAGAGAUUAGACGUUCCCUUCGGGGACAUGGAUACAGGUGGUGCAUGGUUGUCGUCAGCUCGUGUCGUGAGAUGUUGGGUUAAGUCCCGCAACGAGCGCAACCCUUAUUAUCAGUUGCCAGCAUUAAGUUGGGCACUCUGGUGAGACUGCCGGUGACAAACCGGAGGAAGGUGGGGAUGACGUCAAAUCAUCAUGCCCCUUAUGACCUGGGCUACACACGUGCUACAAUGGAUGGUACAACGAGUUGCGAACUCGCGAGAGUAAGCUAAUCUCUUAAAGCCAUUCUCAGUUCGGAUUGUAGGCUGCAACUCGCCUACAUGAAGUCGGAAUCGCUAGUAAUCGCGGAUCAGCAUGCCGCGGUGAAUACGUUCCCGGGCCUUGUACACAC
rnacentral:rRNA from 1 species